rnacentral:rRNA from 1 species
CUACCUGCAGUCGAGCGGUAGGCCCUUCGGGGUACACGAGCGGCGAACGGGUGAGUAACACGUGAGCAACCUGCCCCUGACUCCGGGAUAAGCGGUGGAAACGCCGUCUAAUACCGGAUAUGACCUGUCACCUCAUGGUGGCGGGUGGAAAGUUUUGUCGGUCAGGGAUGGGCUCGCGGCCUAUCAGCUUGUUGGUGGGGUAACGGCCUACCAAGGCGAUUACGGGUAGCCGGCCUGAGAGGGCGACCGGCCACACUGGGACUGAGACACGGCCCAGACUCCUGCGGGAGGCAGCAGUGGGGAAUAUUGCACAAUGGGCGAAAGCCUGAUGCAGCGACGCCGCGUGGGGGAUGACGGCCUUCGGGUUGUAAACCUCUUUUACCACCAACGCAGGCUCCACGUUCUCGUGGGGUUGACGGUAGGUGGGGAAUAAGGACCGGCUAACUACGUGCCAGCAGCCGCGGUAAUACGUAGGGUCCGAGCGUUGUCCGGAAUUAUUGGGCGUAAAGAGCUCGUAGGCGGCGUGUCGCGUCUGCUGUGAAAGACCGGGGCUUAACUCCGGUUCUGCAGUGGAUACGGGCAUGCUAGAGGUAGGUAGGGGAAACUGGAAUUCCUGGUGUAGCGGUGAAAUGCGCAGAUAUCAGGAGGAACACCGGUGGCGAAGGCGGGUUUCUGGGCCUUACCUGACGCUGAGGAGCGAAAGCAUGGGGAGCGAACAGGAUUAGAUACCCUGGUAGUCCAUGCCGUAAACGUUGGGCGCUAGGUGUGGGGACUUUCCACGGUUUCCGCGCCGUAACUAA